rnacentral:rRNA from 2 species
UACGUAGGCAGCAAGCGUUGUUCGGAGUUACUGGGCGUAAAGGGUGUGUAGGCGGUUCCCUAAGUUUGGUGUGAAAUCUCCCGGCUCAACUGGGAGGGUGCGCCGAAAACUGGGGGGCUAGAGUACUGGAUGGGAGAGUGGAAUUCCUGGUGUAGCGGUGAAAUGCGUAGAUAUCAGGAGGAACACCUGUGGUGUAGACGGCUCUCUGGACAGUAACUGACGCUGAGACACGAAAGCGUGGGUAGCAAACAGG